UACGUAGGAUGCAAGCGUUGUCCGGAUUUACUGGGCGUAAAGGGCGGGUAGGCGGCCACCGCAAGUCAGUUGUGAAAUCUCUGGGCUUAACCCAGAAAGGUCAACUGAUACUGCGGGGCUAGAGUGCAGAAGGGGCAACUGGAAUUCUCGGUGUAGCGGUGAAAUGCGUAGAUAUCGAGAGGAACACCUGCGGCGAAGGCGGGUUGCUGGGCUGACACUGACGCUGAACUGCGAAAGCUAGGGGAGCGAACGGG
rnacentral:rRNA from 1 species